rnacentral:rRNA from 1 species
AGCGAACGCUGGCGGCAGGCUUAACACAUGCAAGUCGAGCGGGCACUUCGGUGUCAGCGGCAGACGGGUGAGUAACACGUGGGAACGUACCCUUUGGUUCGGAAUAACGCUGGGAAACUAGCGCUAAUACCGGAUACGCCCUUUUGGGGAAAGGCUUGCUGCCGAAGGAUCGGCCCGCGUCUGAUUAGCUAGUUGGUGGGGUAAUGGCCUACCAAGGCGACGAUCAGUAGCUGGUCUGAGAGGAUGAUCAGCCACACUGGGACUGAGACACGGCCCAGACUCCUACGGGAGGCAGCAGUGGGGAAAAUUGGACAAUGGGCGCAAGCCUGAUCCAGCCAUGCCGCGUGAGUGAUGAAGGCCUUAGGGUUGUAAAGCUCUUUUGUCCGGGACGAUAAUGACGGUACCGGAAGAAUAAGCCCCGGCUAACUUCGUG